AUGCAGUUUCGGCCUCACUGUUCACCAUCAUUAGCUUCGUUAAAACUCCCUUCUCCAUUCGACCUUCUCCAAUCUUCGAUUCACUCUCCUCAGUCUCAACAUGUUCACGUCAGUCCAUUUCUCCGCCAUAAAUUAUUUUGUUCUGACCUUCUCACCACCACCAUAAACAACCAUAAUCUGCCUCACACAACAAUCUAG